AGAGUUUGAUCAUGGCUCAGAAUCAACGCUGGCGGCGCGCUUAACACAUGCAAGUCGCACGAGAAAGUGGAGCAAUCCAUGAGUAAAGUGGCGUACGGGUGAGUAACACGUGGAUCAUCUACCUCUUGGUGGGGAAUAACCUUGGGAAACCGGGGCUAAUACCGCAUAAGCCUGGAAAGGGAAAGCAGCAAUGCGCCGAGAGAGGAGUCCGCGGCCGAUUAGCUAGUUGGUAGGGUAAUGGCCUACCAAGGCAAUGAUCGGUAGCCGGCCUGAGAGGGCACACGGCCACACUGGCACUGAAACACGGGCCAGACUCCUACGGGAGGCAGCAGUGGGGAAUCUUGCACAAUGGGGGAAACCCUGAUGCAGCGACGCCGCGUGAGCGAUGAAGCCCUUCGGGGUGUAAAGCUCUUUCGGCAGGAACGAUAAUGACGGUACCUGAAGAAGAAGCUGCGGCUAACUACGUGCCAGCAGCCGCGGUAAUACGUAGGCAGCAAGCGUUGUUCGGAGUUACUGGGCGUAAAGAGUGUGUAGGCGGUUCUCUAAGUUCGGUGUGAAAUCUCCCGGCUCAACUGGGAGGGUGCGCCGGAAACUGGAGGGCUUGAGUAUGGGAGAGGAAAGCGGAAUUCCUGGUGUAGCGGUGAAAUGCGUAGAUAUCAGGAGGAACACCUGCGGUGUAGACAGCUUUCUGGACCAUCACUGACGCUGGGACACGAAAGCGUGGGUAGCAAACAGGAUUAGAUACCCUAGUAGUCC
rnacentral:rRNA from 1 species